GCGGAAUGGUUCUCGGCUUCCAUAUUUUCUUGUUUCUUUCUUCUUCUUUUUUGCAGAUAGAUGUUCAGGUUUAGGGGAUGGGUUUUAUGGAUGUGGGUUUCUUUUUAUUCGGUUGGUGAUAGGUUGCUGAGGUUUAGAUCGAGGUUUUAAUUGGCACUUGCAGGGCUUGAGCUAUUGCCUUUUUUUUUUUUGAAAUUUUGACUACCGUGUUGAUUCCUCAGGCUGUUGCCUUGUGUGUUUGGUGUAUCUCAGUUCAAGUCAUGUACUCUGGAUUGGUUUUUGUUGGAGAUUUAUUAUAUUUCCUGGAAUAUUUCGCUUUAUUUUCUUUUAGUUUAAUGCGUUUAAGCUUUUCUCUUUUUUUUUGAGAUAGUUUCCUUUAAUUAUAAAAUUGGAUCUUCUCAAUAUGGUUCGUAAGAGAUUACGUUCUCAAAAUGUCCUUUUUGGUGGAUGGUUUAAUGUAUUUUGCAAUAAUUUGCACCGUCUUUGUCCUGGAUCAUUUAGAUGUUUCAUAGAGGUUGUACGUCCUGACUCCUGAGUUGAUUGGUGAAUCCCAAGAACAUUGGAUUGGUUCAUUGUUUCUUUUUUCACUGACGUUCUUAUUUACCUGGGGUUUAAAUGAAGUUUAAUAUGUUGCUUUGAACUUGGUAUAUGGGUUACUGUAUUAGAUGGGAGUAAAAUAUUAAUGCCAAUUAUCUUUUCUUGUUCAGGGCCUUUCUUGUGUAAAGGGAAAAGGAAGCGGAAUAUAAUGUUCUUGAUUGAGUCUGAUAUUUUGAUGUAACCAAGUUUCGUUGGGGUUGGAUGGGUGUAAUGUGUGUUGCAUAUGGUUUGCAACAGGUGAAUUUGAGUAGUCGAUAUUAUUG
rnacentral:lncRNA from 1 species